rnacentral:rRNA from 1 species
UACGUAGGGGGCGAGCGUUGUCCGGAUUUAUUGGGCGUAAAGAGCGCGCAGGCGGCAGCUCAAGUCGGCCGUGACAGCUCCAGGCUCAACCUGGAGAGGUCGGGCGAAACUGGGCUGCUCGAGGCGAGCAGAGGGCAGUGGAAUUCCGGGAGUAGUGGUGGAAUGCGUAGAUAUCCGGAGGAACACCAGUGGCGAAGGCGACUGCCUGGGCUUGUCCUGACGCUGAGGCGCGAAAGCGUGGGGAGCAAUCCGG